GUGUCAGCCGCCGCGGUAAGACGAACCGUCCGAACGUUAUUCGGAAUCACUGGGCUUAAAGGGUGCGUAGGCGGCGCGGAAAGUUGGGUGUGAAAUCCCUCGGCUCAACCGAGGAACUGCGCCCAAAACUACCGUGCUCGAGGGAGAUAGAGGUGAGCGGAACUUAGGGUGGAGCGGUGAAAUGCGUUGAUAUCCUAAGGAACACCGGUGGCGAAAGCGGCUCACUGGAUCUCUUCUGACGCUGAGGCACGAAAGCUAGGGUAGCGAACGGGAUUAGAUACCCCGGUAGUCCUAGCCGUAAACGAUGAGCACUGGAUUGGAGGGUCCUCCAUAGCCUUCCAGUCGCAACGAAAGCGUUAAGUGCUCCGCCUGGGGAGUAUGGUCGCAAGGCUGAA
rnacentral:rRNA from 1 species